rnacentral:rRNA from 1 species
CCUACGGGAGGCAGCAGUGAGGAAUAUUGGUCAGUGGUCGGGAGACUGAACCAGCCAAGCCGCGUGAGGGAGGAAGGUACAGAGUAUCGUAAACCUCUUUUGUCAGGGAACAAAGGCGGGGACGUGUCCCCGGAUGAGUGUACCUGAAGAAAAAGCAUCGGCUAACUCCGUGCCAGCAGCCGCGGUAAUACGGAGGAUGCGAGCGUUAUCCGGAUUUAUUGGGUUUAAGGGGUGCGCAGGCGGUCUGUUAAGUCAGCGGUCAAAGCCCGGGGCUCAACCCCGGCCCGCCGUUGAAACUGGCAGUCGCGAGUUGGAGAGAAGUAUGCGGAAUGCGCGGUGUAGCGGUGAAAUGCAGAGAUAUCGCGCAGAACUCCGAUUGCGAAGGCAGCAUGCCGGCUCCACACUGACGCUGAGGCACGAAAGCGUGGGUAUCGAACAGGAUUAGAUACCCGGGUAGUC